rnacentral:rRNA from 1 species
AACGAACGCUGGCGGCGUGCUUAACACAUGCAAGUCGAACGGAAAGGCCCUGCUUUUGUGGGUUGCUCGAGUGGCGAACGGGUGAGUAACACGUGAGUAACCUGCCCUUGACUUUGGGAUAACUUCAGGAAACUGGGGCUAAUACCGGAUAGGAGCUCCUGCUGCAUGGUGGGGGUUGGAAAGUUUCGGCGGUUGGGGAUGGACUCGCGGCUUAUCAGCUUGUUGGGGGGGUAGUGGCUUACCAAGGCUUUGACGGGUAGCCGGCCUGAGAGUGUGACCGGCCACAUUGGGACUGAGAUACGGCACAGACUCCUACGGGAGGCAGCAGUGGGGGAUAUUGCACAAUGGGCGGAAGCCUGAUGCAGCAACGCCGCGUGCGGGAUGACGGCCUUCGGGUUGUAAACCGCUUUCGCCUGUGACGAAGCGUGAGUGACGGUAAUGGGUAAAGAAGCACCGGCUAACUACGUG